rnacentral:tRNA from 1 species
CAGGGAGACAAAACUGAUUAAGAUGUCUGAUUAAAACUAUUAGGCCUUAAUCCUGUCACCUUAGGUCGAUCGGUACCUCAGAUUGAUAACUAUAAAUGAGGAUUAAUUCUUAAUUAUUAGUUUUUCAGUUUUAGUUCCUAAACUUGUCUAGGUCACACCCAACAAACUUUCUCCUGGGCUAUUAGCUCAGGCGGUUAGAGCGCACCCCUGAUAAGGGUGAGGCCCCUGGUUCAAGUCCAGGAUGGCCCAUUCGUUGUUGGGGGUAUAGCUCAGUUGGUAGAGCGCCUGCUUUGCAAGCAGGAUGUCAGCGGUUCGAGUCCGCUUACCUCCACUGAUCAACUACCUGAUAACUCAAUUAAUGGAGAUUGUUAUUUGGUCAAUGUGAUUUAGAUAUUGUUCAACUGAAUGAACCUAGCUUCCUAUCAAUUUUGAUUAUUUUUAGCUGAUAAGACGCUGGGCUCACUGGUAUUCUAAGGAUUAUCAGUUUAACUCAGUAGAACCUUGACAACUGCAUAGAAAAAUCUAGAAAAAUAAAGCAUCUCAUAGAUGCAUAGCAAUAUAUAUUCAAAAUUUUGUAUAUAUGUUUUCUAUGUUCAAUUCUUGAGUUAGAGCAUAAAUUCAUUUAAUAAAAAUGAAUUUAAUU